rnacentral:rRNA from 1 species
GAUGAACGCUGGCGGCGUGCCUAAUACAUGCAAGUCGAGCGAACAGAUAAGGAGCUUGCUCCUUUGACGUUAGCGGCGGACGGGUGAGUAGCACGUGGGUAACCUACCUAUAAGACUGGGAUAACUUCGGGAAACCGGAGCUAAUACCGGAUAACAUUUGGAACCGCAUGGUUCUAAAGUGAAAGAUGGUUUUGCUAUCACUUAUAGAUGGACCCGCGCCGUAUUAGCUAGUUGGUAAGGUAACGGCUUACCAAGGCGACGAUACGUAGCCGACCUGAGAGGGUGAUCGGCCACACUGGAACUGAGACACGGUCCAGACUCCUACGGGAGGCAGCAGUAGGGAAUCUUCCGCAAUGGGCGAAAGCCUGACGGAGCAACGCCGCGUGAGUGAUGAAGGGUUUCGGCUCGUAAAACUCUGUUAUUAGGGAAGAACAAACGUGUAAGUAACUAUGCACGUCUUGACGGUACCUAAUCAGAAAGCCACGGCUAACUACGUGCCAGCAGCCGCGGUAAUACGUAGGUGGCAAGCGUUAUCCGGAAUUAUUGGGCGUAAAGCGCGCGUAGGCGGUUUCUUAAGUCUGAUGUGAAAGCCCACGGCUCAACCGUGGAGGGUCAUUGGAAACUGGGAAACUUGAGUGCAGAAGAGGAAAGUGGAAUUCCAUGUGUAGCGGUGAAAUGCGCAGAGAUAUGGAGGAACACCAGUGGCGAAGGCGACUUUCUGGUCUGUAACUGACGCUGAUGUGCGAAAGCGUGGGGAUCAAACAGGAUUAGAUACCCUGGUAGUCCACGCCGUAAACGAUGAGUGCUAAGUGUUAGGGGGUUUCCGCCCCUUAGUGCUGCAGCUAACGCAUUAAGCACUCCGCCUGGGGAGUACGACCGCAAGGUUGAAACUCAAAGGAAUUGACGGGGACCCGCACAAGCGGUGGAGCAUGUGGUUUAAUUCGAAGCAACGCGAAGAACCUUACCAAAUCUUGACAUCCAUUGAAAACUCUAGAGAUAGAGCCUUCCCCUUCGGGGGACAAAGUGACAGGUGGUGCAUGGUUGUCGUCAGCUCGUGUCGUGAGAUGUUGGGUUAAGUCCCGCAACGAGCGCAACCCUUAAGCUUAGUUGCCAUCAUUAAGUUGGGCACUCUAGGUUGACUGCCGGUGACAAACCGGAGGAAGGUGGGGAUGACGUCAAAUCAUCAUGCCCCUUAUGAUUUGGGCUACACACGUGCUACAAUGGACAAUACAAAGGGCAGCUAAACCGCGAGGUCAUGCAAAUCCCAUAAAGUUGUUCUCAGUUCGGAUUGUAGUCUGCAACUCGACUACAUGAAGCUGGAAUCGCUAGUAAUCGUAGAUCAGCAUGCUACGGUGAAUACGUUCCCGGGUCU